rnacentral:rRNA from 1 species
AUUGAACGCUGGCGGCAUGCUUUACACAUGCAAGUCGAACGGCAGCGCGGGCUUCGGCCUGGCGGCGAGUGGCGAACGGGUGAGUAAUGCAUCGGAACGUGCCCAGUAGUGGGGGAUAGCCCGGCGAAAGCCGGAUUAAUACCGCAUACGACCUGAGGGUGAAAGCGGGGGACCGAAAGGCCUCGCGCUAUUGGAGCGGCCGAUGUCGGAUUAGCUAGUUGGUGGGGUAAAGGCUUACCAAGGCGACGAUCCGUAGCUGGUCUGAGAGGACGACCAGCCACAAUGGGAAUUGGACACCGCCCAGGCUCCUGAGGGAGGGAGCAGUUGGGAAUUUUGGAAAAUGGGGGGAACCCUGAUCCAAGCAAGGCGGGGGCGGGGAAAAGGGCCUCGGGUUGGAAACCGGUUUUUUUCGGGGAGAAAUCCUUUGGGCUAAUACCCCGGGGGGGUGACGGUACCGGAAGAAUAAGCACCGGCUAACUACGUG